UCUGUGUACAUGUGUGUGCACACGUGCAU
rnacentral:piRNA from 1 species